ACAAACAGCUCCUGCCGUCGGCAUCACUCAUCUCCGCCACCACUCACAAACCAAUAAUCGGCCCACCGGAAAAACCCUCUGAGCGCCUCCAUUUUUGUCGGCAACCAUCUCUGACGAGAUCCACCUUCCGCCGCGAUUUAAAGAAGCUUCACAAGCUCCGUCUUCAACAACUAAUAAAAGCCACCACAUAACCAAACAAACUCUGAUUCGC
rnacentral:lncRNA from 1 species